CACACAUUGUGCUAAACAAUGCUGUGAUUAUGCUGAAAUAUUGUGUUUAACAAUGCUGUGAUUAUGCUGAAAUAUUGUGUUUAACAAUGCUGUGAUUGUGCUGGAAUAUUGUGUUUAACAAUGCUGUGAUUAUGCUGAAAUAUUGUGUUUAACAAUGCUGUGAUUAUGCUGAAAUAUUGUGUUUAACAAUGCUGUGAUUGUGCUGGAAUAUUGUGUUUAACAAUGCUGUGAUUAUGCUGAAAUAUUGUGUUUAACAAUGCUGUGAUUAUGCUGAAAUAUUGUGUUUAACAAUGCUGUGAUUGUGCUGGAAUAUUGUGUUUAACAAUGCUGUGAUUAUGCUGAAAUAUUGUGUUUAACAAUGCUGUGAUUAUGCUGAAAUAUUGUGUUUAACAAUGCUGUGAUUGUGCUGGAAUAUUGUGUUUAACAAUGCUGUGAUUAUGCUGAAAUAUUGUGUUUAACAAUGCUGUGAUUGUGCCGGAAUAUUGUGUUUAACAAUGCUGUGAUUGUGCUGGAAUAUUAUGUAAAUAUAAUUUAGAAAGUGAUAACCUCAUAGCAGCUGAAAAUACAGAUGUAGAUUUUGCCUUAAUGAACCUACGCAAUCUAAAAGGCAUAUGUAAAUUGACUUCGUAAGACAAACUACAAUAAUUACGACUGCAUCUCAGCCAGGAACUUACUAAGGAAGGACUUGCGCCCAUUGUCAUCGUGAAAACUAGAACAAUUCAGGUGUAGCUAUAUGACGAGAGUCGGCUGAUGAACACAAGGAACCAAUGGCCGCCAAACCACCAUUAUUAAAGAUGCCGGAUAAAAUCACUGAGGAUGAAAAGAACAGUUUCCGUCUUAUCAAGAUGGCAUUCUGCACGGCUCGUUAUGUCCUCUACACCAUCUUCCUCUGGGGAACUUUGCAGUCACAGAACCAGACACUUGAGGAUUAUCUUCUCAAUACUAAAGUCUAUACCAUGACCAAAUACAAGAACUGUUUUAAUAACAUGCAGAGGCAGAAAAUGACUUCUAGGGAUCUCGAAAGCAAAUUUGACAUCAGUCACUUGUAUAAAGCCAUUAUUCAUGCUUGUGAUAAAGUAAACUUUGUCAAAGUAGAGCAAAAGGAUCCUAAUAGCCUUGAAUGGUUGAUUAAUGCCAUUAAGGAUUUCAGAAAUGAAGUAAGUCACUCUAUGUUAGGCAUAACAAAAGAAACUAUGAUGGAAAAGAUAGACGUGCUCAGAAACCUGCUGGAGAAAGCCUUGGACACAGCAGGACUCUUGUAUAACAGAGACCCGGCCGAUAUAAGGGCGGAGAUUGAUACCAUGAACAAAGACAUUAAGUAUAUACGGGAUCAGCCUUUGGCACAGACAGACAUAAGUGAAUACGAAAUUGAUUUGCUCAAUGAGAAACAUAGAGCUAAACUUGGGAAAGAAGGAUUAAUAGAAUUAAAGGAAAAGUACAAAAACUGGUCACAGAUAAACCCUGUGUCAUUCCUUGAAGGUGAGAGGAUGCACUUGAGGGUUAGUACAGUGUUCACCCAGAUUGAAGUUGAGGCUGCUGGCCGCAAAUUCAAAGGCUCCAUUGUACCUUACGAGAAUGUACUUUCUUUGUGUAUGGAUAAUGCUUAUUCAAAAACCAACAACAAUAUAAACGCCCCUGUAAUAUUUCUUAUUGAGGGACCAGCAGGGUCAGGAAAAACAACAUUGACAAAAUUGAUGAUGUCAGAAUGGUGUACUGGUGGGGGGUCCAUGCAGGGUCUUAAUGAAUACGAAUUAUUGCUCUACAUGGAGUGCCGCAACUUAUCCAUCUCCAACUUUCCUCAGCUCCUCAGUCAGUUGAUGCCCCGCACCAACGCUCGGUACUUCAAGGAGGGUGAUUUGUUGAAGUACACAUUAGACCUGAAGACAUUGCUGAUUGUUGAUGGGCUUGAUGAGAUGAAUUCUAAAUCAGAAGAGCUCUUCAUGGACAUAAUCAACCAGAGAGUUGAUAACCUUGUUGUGCUUUGUACUUCUCGUCCAGAAAAAGUGCCCUACUUUCAAACACAUAUCCCUCAUGAGUAUCGCAUUGCUCACCUCAAGAUUACUGGUGUUGCUGACAAUAAACGGGAAGAGUUCAUUAGGAAAUACCAUGAUGAAAUGUUGAGGCAAGGGCUAAGUACAGGAGACACCGAGGAAAUUGUAGAGUAUGUGAAAAAGUCAGAAAUCCACCUUCAGAAGCACUACAGGCUCCCCCUCAACCUGGUAGUUUUAGUAUGGCUCUGGGCUGAUGAUAAGGCACGAAUAAAUGCGGUUACAACUUCCAGUGAGCUGUACUUUGAAACACACAAACUAAUGAAGAGGAAGCUCACAGAGAGGCUCGCCCACAAUGAGGCCACAAAAGGGGUGGAUCGUGAUGAUUUACAUAAAAAAGUGGAGUGUUUCUUGAGCAGCAUGUACCGUGAAGCACUUGUGGCACUCCGAUGGGACACCUUAGAAAAAUUUUUGCCCAAGUCUUUACAUCAAAUGAAGCUUGCUUGCUCUACAAAUAAUCUACCUUCCAAAGAGACAAUGUCUGCCUUUUUGGUUGUAAAAAUGGUAGAAGGAGAGGAACAAGUGAGCAUUCCUCACAAGCUACUUCAUGAGUUUUAUGCUUCACUUUGGAUUGUGCAGAGUCUGUUUGAUGAAAGUUGCAAAAGAGAGAAUGAUACUUUGUUUCAAAACUAUGCCAUGUUCCUCCAAACACAAUCAAUUGGAUCUACAUUACAACAGGAUUUACUUAAUGACGUUAUGACAAAAUUAACUCAGAGAGUUGAAAUUCAGAAACCAGAUGCCAUCCGGUCUAUAUUAGCAGACCUGCAUAGCGAUGAUCCUGCCACCCUAAGGAUGUCCAAGUACCAAUCCUUGCUGCUGCAGGUUGCUGGGGUGCUGUAUACUCAACACAGUUCCAAGAUUAAGGAUUGUACUGCCCAGGACAUAGUAGAACUCUUAAAAGAAUCAGGACUGGGACACAAUGAUGAUAAUGAGUGGUUUGAGCUAUUGGAUCUUGUAAACAAUGACAGUGCAGUAAUUAAAUAUGUAUCUAGACAUAUAUGUAAUAGUAUAACAAUUAAAGAGGGUCAUAUAAGAGCUGCCCUUAAGCUGUUGAAAGAUGCCAGGCCCAAGAAGGUUAGAGUCAGUAUCAACAGUAAUCACCGAAAUAUUGCAGAAUUUCCGAAUCUCCUUGAGAGCAUAACAAGAAUCAAAUGUAAAGUAGAGCUUUACUUCCAUCAUGACUUUCAGCAUCCUGGACUAGUGACUACAGAUGACAACGAACUCCAGGCUGUAGUUGAAAGGUUUGCACAUCACUUGCGGAGUGUCUGCAAGUGAUGUUACCCAGGUGCCUGCUUCCAACAUUCUGCUCUGGCUGUUGCUGACUGAUGUUGAGGAUGAUAACAUGACCAGAGCAUGUGAUAUAGUUCAUGGACAUAAGAUUCCCAAGAGCUAAUGUCUCAGUAGCAGGAUGGGAACAACUUCUGGAGAGACUACAGCAAAGUGGAGUGCAUGUGGGUCAUAUCUCAAUACCGGAGGAUGCAGAGGUGAAUG
rnacentral:misc_RNA from 1 species